CGUUGGAAAUUUUGGACAAUGGGCGCAAGCCUGAUCCAGCCAUGCCGCGUGCGGGAAGAAGGCCUUCGGGUGUAAACCGCUUUUGUCAGGGAAGAAACGCUCCGGGCUAAUACCUCGGAGUAAUGACGGUACUGAAGAAUAAGCACCGGCUAACUACGUGCCAGCAGCCGCGGUAAUACGUAGGGUGCAAGCGUUAAUCGGAAUUACUGGGCGUAAAGCGUGCGCAGGCGGCUUUGCAAGACAGAUGUGAAAUCCCCGGGCUUAACCUGGGAACUGCAUUUGUGACUGCAUGGCUAGAGUGCGGCAGAGGGGGAUGGAAUUCCGCGUGUAGCAGUGAAAUGCGUAGAUAUGCGGAGGAACACCGAUGGCGAAGGCAAUCCCCUGGGCCUGCACUGACGCUCAUGCACGAAAGCGUGGGGAGCAAACAGGAUUAGAUACCCUGGUAGUCCACGCCCUAAACGAUGUCAACUGGUUGUUGGACGGCUUGCUGUUCAGUAACGAAGCUAACGCGUGAAGUUGACCGCCUGGGGAGUACGGCCGCAAGGUUGAAACCCAAAGGAAUUGACGGGGACCCGCACAAGCGGUGGAUGAUGUGGUUUAAUUCGAUGCAACGCGAAAAACCUUACCUACCCUUGACAUGUCUGGAAUCCCGAAGAGAUUUGGGAGUGCUCGAAAGAGAACCAGAACACAGGUGCUGCAUGGCCGUCGUCAGCUCGUGUCGUGAGAUGUUGGGUUAAGUCCCGCAACGAGCGCAACCCUUAUCAUUAGUUGCUACGCAAGGGCACUCUAAUGAGACUGCCGGUGACAAACCGGAGGAAGGUGGGGAUGACGUCAGGUCAUCAUGGCCCUUAUGGGUAGGGCUACACACGUCAUACAAUGGCCGGUACAGAGGGCUGCCAACCCGCGAGGGGGAGCUAAUCUCAGAAAACCGGUCGUAGUCCGGAUCGCAGUCUGCAACUCGACUGCGUGAAGUCGGAAUCGCUAGUAAUCGCGGAUCAGCUUGCCGCGGUGAAUACGUUCCCGGGUCUUGUACACACCGCCCGUCACACCAUGGGAGCGGGUUCUGCCAGAAGUAGUUAGCCUAACCGCAAGGAGGGCGAUACCACGUCAGGUCGUACUGGG
rnacentral:rRNA from 1 species